rnacentral:ncRNA from 1 species
ACGCCCUGCUCGUGAUCGUCUUCUCAGCCUUCACGGGGCAGGCGGAAGAAAGGAGAGCCCCCGCCAGGACGUGACUGGCGGGGGCUCUCC